rnacentral:rRNA from 1 species
ACGGCUCACCAAGGCGACGAUGCGUAGCCGACCUGAGAGGGUGAUCGGCCACACUGGGACUGAGACACGGCCCAGACUCCUACGGGAGGCAGCAGUAGGGAAUCUUCCGCAAUGGACGAAAGUCUGACGGAGCAACGCCGCGUGAGUGAUGAAGGUUUUCGGAUCGUAAAGCUCUGUUGUUAGGGAAGAACAAGUGCCGUUCAAAUAGGGCGGCACCCUUGACGGUACCUAACCAGAAAGCCACGGCUAACUACGUGCCAGCAGCCGCGGUAAUACGUAGGUGGCAAGCGUUGUCCGGAAUUAUUGGGCGUAAAGGGCUCGCAGGCGGUUUCUUAAGUCUGAUGUGAAAGCCCCCGGCUCAACCGGGGAGGGUCAUUGGAAACUGGGGAACUUGAGUGCAGAAGAGGAGAGUGGAAUUCCACGUGUAGCGGUGAAAUGCGUAGAGAUGUGGAGGAACACCAGUGGCGAAGG